GACGAACGCUGGCGGCGUGCUUAACACAUGCAAGUCGAGCGACGCUCUUCCUUCGGGGAGAUGACGGAGCGGCGAACGGGUGAGUAACACGUGGGCAACCUGCCCCUAGCUCUGGGACAACACCGGGAAACCGGUGCUAAUACCGGAUACGACAUCGAGCGGCAUCUCUCGAUGUGGAAAGUUUUUUCGGCUAGGGAUGGGCCCGCGGCCUAUCAGCUUGUUGGUGGGGUAAUGGCCCACCAAGGCGACGACGGGUAGCCGGCCUGAGAGGGCGACCGGCCACACUGGGACUGAGACACGGCCCAGACUCCUACGGGAGGCAGCAGUGGGGAAUAUUGCGCAAUGGGCGAAAGCCUGACGCAGCGACGCCGCGUGAGGGAUGACGGCCUUCGGGUUGUAAACCUCUUUCAGCAGGGACGAAUUCAGACGGUACCUGCAGAAGAGGCACCGGCCAACUACGUG
rnacentral:rRNA from 1 species